UACGGAGGGGGCUAGCGUUGUUCGGAAUUACUGGGCGUAAAGCGCACGUAGGCGGCUGUUCAAGUCAGAGGUGAAAGCCUGGAGCUCAACUCCAGAACUGCCUUUGAAACUAGACAGCUAGAAUCAUGGAGAGGUGAGUGGAAUUCCGAGUGUAGAGGUGAAAUUCGUAGAGAUCCGGAGGAACACCAGUGGCGAAGGCGACACGCUGGGCCGUACCUGACACUGAUGCGCGACAGCAUGGGGAGCAAACAGG
rnacentral:rRNA from 1 species